UACGUAGGGGGCAAGCGUUGUCCGGAAUCAUUGGGCGUAAAGAGCGUGUAGGCGGCUCGGUAAGUCCGCUGUGAAAGUCCAGGGCUCAACCCUGGAAUGCCGGUGGAAACUGUCGAGCUAGAGUCCGGAAGAGGAGAGUGGAAUUCCUGGUGUAGCGGUGAAAUGCGCAGAUAUUGGGAGGAACACCGGUGGCGAAGGCGGCUACCUGGACCGGUACUGACGCUGAGGCGCGAAAGCUAGGGUAGCAAACAGG
rnacentral:rRNA from 1 species